AAAAAACGACUAAACAGCAAAAAAUAAUAACGUAAAUAAGAGCAAACAUUUUCUUUUUGUUUCUCUUCCGUUGCAUAGAAAGUGAAAAUCGAGAAGAAUAAGAAGAUGGUCCCUUUCUCUAGUUCUUUCUGAAAAUGGAUA
ensembl:ncRNA K07E12.7 ncRNA